GAUGAACGCUGGCGGCGUGCCUAAUACAUGCAAGUCGAGCGAAUGGAUUAAGAGCUUGCUCUUAUGGAGUUAGCGGCGGACGGGUGAGUAACACGUGGGUAACCUGCCCAUAAGACUGGGAUAACUCCGGGAAACCGGGGCUAAUACCGGAUAACAUUUUGAACCGCAUGGUUCGAAAUUGAAAGGCGGCUUCGGCUGUCACUUAUGGAUGGACCCGCGUCGCAUUAGCUAGUUGGUGAGGUAACGGCUCACCAAGGCAACGAUGCGUAGCCGACCUGAGAGAGGUAUCGGCCACACUGGGACUGAGACACGGCCCAGAAUCCAACGGGAGGCAGCAGUAGGGAAUCUUCCGCAAUGGACGAAAGUCUGACGGAGCAACGCCGCGUGAGUGAGGAAGGCUUUCGGGUCGUAAAACUCUGUUGUUAGGGAAGAACAAGUGCUAGUUGAAUAAGCUGGCACCUUGACGGUACCUAACCAGAAAGCCACGGCUAACUACGUGCCAGCCGCCGCGGUAA
rnacentral:rRNA from 1 species